rnacentral:rRNA from 1 species
UACAUGUGGGGCAAGCGUUGUUCGGAAUUACUGGGCAUAAAGGGUGCGUAGGCGGCUUGUCAAGUCACUGGUGAAAGUUUUCGGCCCAACCGGAAAAUUGCCUGUGAUACUGAUGAGCUUGAGUGCGUGAGGGGUGGGGGGAACGAGCAGUGUAGCGGUGAAAUGCGUAGAUAUUGCUCGGAAGGCCAACGGCGAAGGCAGGUUACUGGUACGCAACUGACGCUGAGGCACGAAAGCGUGGGGAGCAAACAGG